rnacentral:misc_RNA from 1 species
CUGCUAUCGAAUUUAAAAUUUUAUCUAUUAAUGUUUCCCAUGCAUUUGACUAAAAUUUACAAGUCCCAUGCCAUUCCAUGAAAAAAUAAGUGAAAAAGGGAAAUGGGAAAUGUUAUAUCACAUAGACUGAUGUAGAAUGCCACACCUCAAGCUUAUUGACAAUGGCAUGCCAAACUAAAUAAUCUUGAGUAGAGUUUAUCUUCCCCCUUUACAAUUUAUAAACGCAGACAUCAUGAACACAUUCACAAGCUUAAGUCUCUCUCUUAAAAUAGACAUUUUAAGAAGUUUCUUCUAGAGAUUUUAGAAAAGUAACACGUAGAAAGCACAUCAAUAGAGAAUGCACCAGAAGAUGAAUUUUUGAAUUUACAGCCGAUUCCACCUUAGAUUAGUUGCUUGAGCUGCCAAGAUCGAAGUCCAUUGUGUAAUCAUAUUCAAUAGUUGGAAUUACAGAGGCUACAAAUUUCAAGAAUAGGAAAAGAUACUUGUCAACUUCUGGUUCAACUCCUCGUGACAUUAAGACAUCAAUAAUUUUCUUCAUGACAGCCCCAUGUCGGCAUGGAUGUACAGAAGCAUGCUUUCCAGGCAAGUGAGGAUGGUCUUCAAUAGUUACCGUUUUGCGUGCAUGGUCUUGACUAACAUCUUCAAGAACAAGUUCUGGUUGCAGAAGCAUCCUCGACUCAUCA